rnacentral:rRNA from 1 species
AACCAUAAACGACUCUCGGCAACGGAUAUCUCGGCUCACGCAUCGAUGAAGAACGUAGCAAAAUGCGAUACUUGGUGUGAAUUGCAGAAUCCCGUGAACCAUCGAGUUUUUGAACGCAAGUUGCGCCCGAAGCCAUUCGGCUGAGGGCACAUCUGCCUGGGCG